rnacentral:lncRNA from 1 species
UAUCCCUUCUCUGCAGUGCUGAGUAUGGUUUGAUUGUACUUCUCAGAACAAAAGGCAGCAGUUGGCACAACCACCUGAGCCACUUGAGGGAAGAGUGGGAGCUGAUUGAGCUUGCGCCAGGCAGAGACAGCAGCUUGUUCUGCCUUCGGUUCGUACUUGGAGUAGAGCUCCUUGGCUGUAGGCUCGUACUUGGAGUAAACAGAUUUUGCCAAUUCGGAGGCGGUUUCUUUCACACCAGCACGCUGAACUUCAGAAGCCACUGCUCGAGCUGCCACUGGAGCAUUUUGAGCUGCCAAGAGUGCUCGGGAUGACACCUGUUUGACGAGUGGG